rnacentral:lncRNA from 1 species
CUCCAGGGUACGGAAAAGGAGAUACGCAGGGAACUAUGCGGCCGAGAAAAGUGACUUUCUAGUGUCUUUACAGGAGACACACAACGCCAGGACUUUUUGGACGACGCAUGCGUUUUUUCUGUGGACGGACGGAGAAAAGCCUCUCUCCGUCUCUACUUCAGAACGACCACCACUCAGAAGGCAGUUCAUGCGCAGCGAAUGUCCUCCAUUCCAGAGCAUGGAAGAACUACUUUGGCGGAUUUUCUUGGAACAGUGCGCACAGAUACUUUCGCAAAGAAGCAGCACAAGGAGGGAUAGUGUCCAUCUGUGUAAGCGAGCAUUUGACUCCUCGCGUUGGUGGCCAGAGGUGAAGGCCCCCCAAUUCUUUUCUUCUUGAGAGAGUCUGUCGCUUUUUCGGUGUCUCCACUUGUCGGCGCGACAGAUGGUAUGUUCCCCCAUCAGAGCAACGCCUUGCCUCUGUUUAGCACUGCUUGGUAUCGCACUCUGCAUAGCCUGCACAAGCGCCUUUCGUCCUUGACUCAGAUUCAGAGUUUCCAGCGUUUCUGAGAGCGAAUAGAGGCCGAGUCGGGAACUCGACUCUGGGGCAGACACACUCCCUCAAGCGUCGAGAGUCUGGAGAAUGGCAGGUUGCUCGCCAGCCUCAGGCUUUGUGGCUUUUUUUGCCUCUCGCAGCAGCCCGGAGGAACUGGC